rnacentral:rRNA from 1 species
UUCCGGUUGAUCCCGCCGGACCCCACUGCUAUCGAGAUGGGACUAAGGUAUGCUAGUCGAACGACCAGAACUAUGUCUGGGAGUGGCACACUGCUCAGUAACACGUAGCUAACCUACCCUUAGGACGUGGAUACCCCCGAGAAAUUGGGGUUAAUCCGCGAUAGAUGUAAUGUCCUGGAAUGGUAUUACGUCUAAAGGUAUUUCAUACAUGUUUGAAAUAUGCCUAAGGAUGGGGCUGCGGCCGAUCAGGCUGUUGGUGAGGUAAUGGCUCACCAAACCUUUGACCGGUACGGGCCAUGAGAGUGGUAGCCCGGAGAUGGACACUGAGACAAGGGUCCAGGCCCUAAGGGGCGCAGCAACCGCGAAACCUCCACAAUGCACUCACGUGCGAUGGGGCUAUCUCGAGUGCCACCUGAUGAAGGUGGCUUUUCCUAGGUCUUCAAAGCCUUGGGAAUAAGAGGGGGGCAAGACUGGUGUCAGCCGCCGCGGUAACACCAGCCCCUCGAGUGGUGGGGAUGAUUAUUUGGCCUAAAGCGUCCGUAGCCGGCCGAGCAAGUCUUCCGUUAAAUCCAGCGUCUCAAGCGUUGGACUGCGGGAGAUACUGCAGGGCUAGAGAGUGGGAGAGGUCAGCGGUAUUCUGGGGGUAGGGGCGAAAUCCUUUGAUCCCCGGAGGACCACCAGUGGCGAAGGCUGCUGACUAGAACACGUCUGACGGUCAGGGACGAAAGCUGGGGUAGCGAACCGGAUUAGAUAC